AUGCAAACCUUUAACUGCCUGUAUUAGAUUAGGUACCAUUAGAAAUAAUAGAACAUCCUGAGCAUCAAUGUUUUUAUAAGAGUUUGCUGUUGUUGAUUAAUCUUGCUAUAUUUUAUUGCAUUAAUGAUUUUUUCUUUCCACUCCACUGUAAAGAUAUUGCAUAGAGGCUAAUACUUUUUCCUCUCUUCUUUUCCAUUGCAGCCUCUCCAGCUUCUGCAGUGCAUUGUUGAUGAGGAUUCGCCCGUCCUUCCAGUUGGAGAGUUCUCGGAGCCAUUUGUACAUUUCAUCACUCAGUGGUGAGCCCGUUUACAAACAUGCCAUGCCUUCAAUGUAAAUGAUACAUGCCAUUAACUCGGCAGCUCCGUGAGACCUUAUGGCUCUCCCUGCUUCCUUUUGGAGACAGGAGGGACUUCGGGGCCUUGGGCAGAUGGGGCAGCAAAGCUGAAGAAAUUGUUUAAAUUAUGUAAACGUUAUUUACACAAAGGGUCAUAAGCAUACUUCAGAGCCCUUUUCCUGAUUUAAUAAACUGCAGAAAGUC
rnacentral:sRNA from 1 species